rnacentral:tRNA from 1 species
GGCUUCGUAGCUCAGCAGGAUAGAGCAGCGGUUUCCUAAACCGAAGAUCGCGCGUUCGAAUCGCGCCGGGGCCGCCA